rnacentral:lncRNA from 1 species
AAAGAUAUUGAAAAGCUAAAACGGCUGAAUACUUUUAAAAGUUCUGAAAUUCUUGUAUUCCAUUGUUGAAGAACUAUCAAACUUCUGCCUGUUUGGAUGAUUUCUUGUUGUUAGUUAGAACACUUUAAAAUUUCCUAGCUACACUUCCAGAUGAAAUAUGGCUUGAGCUUUUGGUUUGAAGUUGGUUUUGCAUUUGUUACUACUCUACUGUUUCAUCAACUACUCUUGAGUUCAUUUCACUAUUUCAUUGACUGAAUCUGGGCCCUUUUUC